rnacentral:lncRNA from 1 species
CUUUUCUUGUAUCAAUUAUUCUAAUAAAAUAAGAAAAGCAUUAAGGCUUUUGUGAAGCUACAUCUUCAUGAAGUGUUGUCUGCUGACAGGAGUUACUGGAAGACUCAUCAAAAUAGGGACUAAUUGCAUACCAACUCUGUCAUGAUGUCUUGGAGUUGAAGGUUUAAUAUGUUUUGAAGGUCUCCCCUCCAGUACUGAGAGCUGGCUGGUGCUGACUUCUGGACAAGAAACAAAGCAUACAUCUCAAAGAAAUUCUCUAACCUCUCAAGCACCUGAU